rnacentral:lncRNA from 1 species
GCAAAUGACAUUUAAAUGUCAUUAUUCCACUCUGAGUUUUGAAUGAUUUUAGCCAGGUACAGAAUUCUAGGCCAACCAUUCAAAAUUACAGUGCUGUUACUCCAUUGACCUUUGGUCUUUAUCUUUUCCCUUUAUCUUCUGCAAAACCAUGUCCAGAUCUGAAUUUAUUGUAUUUAUUUUGUUUGGCCCUUGAGGGAUACCUUGAAUACUUUCAGCAAUUAUCUCUUCAAUCAAUGUUUCUCUGGUAUUAAUUUUUAAAUAUUUUUUAGUUGUCAAUAGACCUUUAUUUUAUUUAUUUAUAUGUGGUGCUGAGAAUUGAACCCAGUGCCUCACACGUGCUAGGCAAGUGCUCUACCACUGACCCACAACCCAGCCCCUCUGGUAUUUUUCAGCCUAGUCGUACUUACUCCCCGAGUCCCUGAAUUCCUCUUACACAUUUAUUGAAGCCUCUCAUCUACUUUCUGUAUCUUGGUCCUUUAAUUUUUAAUUUUUCUGAGCUUUUAUUUUUGUAAAUUCCUUAGAACUAUCUUCCAGUUCAGUUUUCUCUUUAGCUAUGUACAGCCUGGGUUUUAUUCCUAUACUGAGUGCCCCCCCCCCAAAAAAAAUAACCUAAUUUUUUAUAUCUAAGAUUUCUUUAUUUUCCAUUUUUGUAUCUUCCUUAUUUCAUUCUUUUUUAUUUUUUAAAUAAUUUCCCACUAUUUUUUAAGGAUGUUAUUUUUUCAAUUGUCUCUUGAAGGAUACUAACCAGCAUACAUAUUUAAAGUAUUGGCCAGGUUGUUUCAUUAUUUUAAUUUCUUCUAAAGUGAAUUCAUUUCUUUGUUGUUGAUUUUGCUUCUGGUCCUUUAAUGUAAGUUUCCUUCAAUUAAAUGAAUCUUUUUUUAAAAAUUAUUUUAGUUGUUGAUGUACCUUUAUUUUUUGCUUAUUUAUAUGUGGUGCUGAGGAUAGAACCUGGUGCUUCACACAUUCUAGGCAAGUGCUGUGCCACUGAGCCACAAUCC